AGAAUCAACGCUGGCGGCGUGCCUCAGACAUGCAAGUCGAACGCGAAAGUCCCCUUCGGGGGACAAGUAGAGUGGCGCACGGGUGAGUAACACGUAGGUAAUCUACCUUCGGAUGGGGAAUAACAACCGGAAACGGUUGCUAAUACCGCAUAAUGCAGCGGCACCUAAUGGUGACAGUUGUUAAAAGCGGGGGAUCGAAAGACCUCGCGUCUGAAGAGGAGCCUGCGGCGGAUUAGCUAGUUGGUAAGGUAAUGGCUUACCAAGGCUACGAU
rnacentral:rRNA from 1 species